GGAAAACUCAUUUUGAUGGAGGACAGAUAUGUAAAUGAGCGUGUGUUAGGCCCCGCCCCCCUGCGCAGAGUAUAUAAGCGCUGCUCGGCGCUCUGCUGCGUCUCUGAAGUUCUGAUCGUGUUCAAGACGUGCAUCAUCUCACCUGCAACUGCGACAUCACAGAUCACAAUGUCUGACGAAGGAAAGCUGUUUGUCGGUGGACUGAGUUUCGAUACCACCGAACAGUCGCUAGAGGACGCUUUCGCCAAAUAUGGCGUCAUCACCAACGUGCAUGUGGCCCGAAACCGAGAAACCAACAGAUCCAGAGGAUUCGGAUUCGUGACCUUUGAGAACCCAGAAGAUGCGAAGGACGCGAUGGAGGGAAUGAAUGGAAAGUCUGUGGACGGCCGGACGAUCCGUGUGGAUGAGGCUGGGAAGGGCGGCGGUGGAGGAGGUGGACGCUCCGGUGGAGGAUCCUACAGAGGAGGUGGAGGAGGAGGCGGUGGAGGCUUCUACAGAGGAGGCCGAGGAAGAGGAGGUGGAGGCAGCUACGGCGGUGGAGACCGCGGAUACGGAGGAGACCGGAGCUAUGGCAGCGGUGGAGGAUAUAAGAGCGGAGGAGGUGGAGGUUACUCCUCUGGAGGAGGUGGAGGAUACAGCAGAGACAGGAAUUCUGGGAACAGCGACCGUGGCAGCUCUUACAGAGACAGCUAUGAUAGUUAUGGUUGAGUUCUCAUCGGAGAGCGUCUGGGGUUUGAAGAAGCUCGAGGACUGAUGGAUCAUGUCUGUUCCUCUGAGGCCGAAGCGUGAGAUGAUGGAACGGCGAGCAGAUGAUGAAAGCUCGAGGAGGUUCUUGAACAGCAGCUGUUGAAAGCCCUUUACCAGCUUUGGUUAUUCUUUCCUUAACAACGACCAGCCUUCUGGAAAUCAGUUGUAAAUCUGAUGAUGCAGUAUUCUCUCCAAAUACUGGCCUGUCUUCUGCUCUGGAAUUGAGACUCAGUAACACUUUACUGUAACCUUCUGAAAAUCAUGUUACUCAGUGCAAUACAAGAGCGAUAAAUUUGUAACAGUCUGUAUCUUUGUUAAUAAAAAUCCACCUGUUCUUUGAGUUGUUAACUAGUUUUGAUGUUAAAAAUACAUUUGUACAUGUUUGAGGUAAACGUUGAUUAGUUUAAUGCCUUAGAAGUAUUUCAUGUAAGUUAAUGUGGUUAACUAAAUUAAGUUUUUCUCAUGUUUGUGGAUUAUUUUGACCUUAAUAAAAUAUGAAAAAUGA